CAUGUGUUUCCUGUGGAUUUAGCUACAUGAAAUUGUUAGAGAUAUUAUAAGGAAAUUAUCGGUGCAUAUCCAGACUGUACAUGACACAGCGACAGAUGGUCGCUCCACGGACACGACUUAGCAGUUAGCUUAGCCUGUUAUAGCCGUGUGCUGUUUCUCUUGCUGUGUAUUUUUCACAACCCUGUGGCAUCUUGGAUGUUUGUCGGCUUCAGGCUUGUGUUUGACUGGACUGACGAGGUCUGACAAGCCGCUGCAUGGACGGUACGUUAGAGGUGUAACCGGAGGUUUCUCUGUUUGAAAAACUUUGCCCAGUGGACUUGAAUAUUUCGCCAUGAACUGAAACUUCACCGUGUUUGCUAGCGUCUGACAUUGGCUCUCUGGUGUUAGCUAACGAUGCCCCUCGCCCCUGCAAACCAGUCCCAGUUGAUUCGUUCCAGCCAAAAGGACGAAUAUUACCGUACCUUCCUGAGAAACAAUGCCAACGAAGCUUUUCAAACACUUGCUGGAUCCAAAAGAUGGCUGGACUGGAGGAAAGAGAUAGAGCUGCUGUCUGAUCUUGUAUACUAUGGUUUAACAACAGUCUCAGGCUACCAGACUCUGGGAGAGGAGUACGUCAGCAUCGUCCAGGUGGAUCCCACUAAACGACGGAUCCCCUCCCGAGCCAGACGCGGGCUCUUUGUCCUCUGCCAUGCCUUCUUGCCUUACUUCCUGGACAAGGUCCUGGUGUGCCUAGAGAACGAGCUGGAACGUGGGCAGGAGAACGUCGGUGGUGUCAGUCGGCAGCAGGCGGCGUCCUGGCCAUGGAGCCUGGAGUCUUGGCUGAAGAGAUGGGUGCAGAGAGCAGUGGGGCUGCUGUCAGAGCCCCAGAGGAGAGCGUGUGUGCCGGCCACGUUUGUCCUCCAGCAGUGUCUGACCCUCCUACACCGACUCCAUGUGGCUCUGUUCUACAUCAGCGGCUCUUUCUAUCACCUGUCCAAGAGGACGGCUGGUAUCAGUUAUCUGCGUGUGAUGGGGCUGAACACCAGUGACGGGACCAUCAGGAGCAGCUACAGGCUGCUGGGGGCCGUGUCCCUCCUUCAGCUGCUCAUCACUGUCUGUCUUCAGUUCAACAACUUCAGACAGAGACAGAGGGCCAGGCAGGAGUGGAAGCUCUAUAGGAACCUCAGUCCUCAGCACACACAGAGCCCGAGCCCCAGAGCUGCCCGCUGCAUCCUCUGUCUGGAGGAGAGGAGACACUCCACCUCCACCCCCUGUGGACAUCUCUUCUGCUGGGAGUGCAUCACAGAGUGGUGCAACACCAAGGCAGAAUGCCCUCUGUGUCGGGAGAAGUUCCAGCCUCACAGACUCGUGUACCUGAGGAACUACAGCUAAAACUACAGAGCCAGAAACUACACACACGCACAUAUAGACACACACUUCUGGUGGACUGCAGUGCUUUGUAAUACCUGUGCAGACAGGCUGCCCCUCAGGGACAUGUGAAGACAUAAACAGUGUUUUCCAGCAAUCACACAGAACGUUGUGCCAACACAAAGUAGCUUCUUCAGGUUGUUUAGGACUGAGCUGGACAUGGAAAUAUCUCUGGAAACCUUUGAACGCCUCCCUAAAACCUUGUCGGGUUGUAUCUUAUAAGACCGAGAUGCUCUGACCUUCUCUGUCUCUGUAAACACGGACGAUCACCUGCCGUUAUCUCAUGUGUUCAGCAGUACACACGAGUCAUGUGAUGGAGAACAUCUGGUCACUGCUUUCCGAACCUACACAUAAUCAUCUUAAGAGUGCCUGAGCCGUAUAAGUUAAAC